UACGUAGGGGUCGAGCGUUGUCCGGAGUUACUGGGCGUAAAGCGCGCGCAGGCGGCGCGAUAAGACCGGCGUGAAAGCCCCCGGCUCAACCGGGGAGGGUCGUUGGUGACUGUCGCGCUUGAAGGCAGCAGGGGUGAGCGGAAUUCCGGGUGUAGCGGUGAAAUGCGUAGAUAUCCGGAGGAACACCGGUGGCGAAGGCGGCUUCCUGGACCGACACUGACGCUGAGGCGCGAAAGCUAGGGGAGCAAACGGG
rnacentral:rRNA from 1 species